rnacentral:rRNA from 1 species
GUAGUCAUAUGCUUGUCUCAAAGAUUAAGCCAUGCAUGUCUAAGUAUAAGCAAUCUAUACGGUGAAACUGCGGAUGGCUCAUUAAAUCAGUUAUCGUUUAUUUGAUAGUACCUUACUACUUGGAUAACCGUGGUAAUUCUAGAGCUAAUACCUGCUAAAAACCCCGACUUACGAAGGGGUGUAUUUAUUAGAUAAAAAACCAAUGCCCUUCGGGGCUCCUUGGUGAUUCAUAAUAACUUAACGAAUCGCAUGGCCUUGUGCCGGCGAUGGUUCAUUCAAAUUUCUGCCCUAUCAACUUUCGAUGGUAGGAUAGUGGCCUACCAUGGUUUCAACGGGUAACGGGGAAUUAGGGUUCUAUUCCGGAGAGGGAGCCUGAGAAACGGCUACCACAUCCAAGGAAGGCAGCAGGCGCGCAAAUUACCCAAUCCCGACACGGGGAGGUAGUGACAAUAAAUACUGAUACAGGGCUCUUUUGGGUCUUGUAAUUGGAAUGAGUACAAUUUAAAUCCCUUAACGAGGAACAAUUGGAGGGCAUGUCUGGUGCCAGCAGCC